GCUGCCUAGAUGAGGACAGAGUUCAGCAAAUGGAAAACACUGACAUUUUAUAAAAAUAGCAACAGCUGGUUUAAAAAUAGCAUCUGGUGAAAUAAAUGUGCUGUAACUUGUGAAACUCUCUUGGGAACAUUUCCCUUCUCAUCCAGUCCUCCCCUGUUCCCUAUUUCUUCUGUAAAGAGAAAUCCCAAGGCAGAUCCCUCUGUAGAAUGACAGACUAAAUCAGUACUUUGUACAUGGCAGAGAAUGAGUUUUGGCUAUUUUAAUUUAAUUUUAUUUUUAAUGUAUUUAUUUUUGAGACUCCGUGCCAGUGAGGGGGGCAAAUUCCCAUUUUGCUGAGCCUCAUGCCCAGGGAUUGGGAAAGUCAAAUUAGAAGUUUCCUUUUUUUUUCUUUCUUUCUUUAUUCAGUUUUACUGAGUUUAUCUUUGUUUUUUAAAGACCUUCUUUUGCUUUUAUCAAACCAGUUUUGAAUGUUCUUUUCCUGUUCCAACCUCCCCUGUACUGGCCACAAGCAGCCAGACAGAUGGAUUAUAAAUCUUCAACAGAUUUGCAGAUCUGUGAAUCUUAAGAGCAGCAGCUUCCCUUGUGGCUCCUCCAAAGGGAGGUUUUGAGGUGCAGUGGCGUUCUACUGUGUUUCCUACAGAUGAGAAGGUGCAGGCUCUUCUCCAGGAGACUUGUGUGAUGGCAAAAGGGAAGCCACUCAACUGUGCGAUAGAAAAAGGACGAAGAGACCUUGAAUAGCUCUUUUCUUUGGAGCAGGGGACUGACUUCUUUCCUGAGGGGAUUAGGGGAUCAAGGAAUGAGAUGGUUCCAGAAAAUGGAUCAGGGAAGGGGCAAGAGGAAGGUUAUGGGCAGGAUUCAGUUAAGGAAAGACAGGAGACUUAGGGAUAUUCUUGGCUCUGAUGAGCGUGGAAGGAUUUGCAGCUUUUUUGAAAUCUCUCGCAGCCCUGGUUGUAAACAUGGUGCUUGUUUUGACUGGACUAGAUAACUGAGGCAGAAAUAUUUAGAAAUCACAGACAGAUAGACCUGUUAUUGAAGCUGUUCUAGCUGACUGGGGGUUGAGAAAAGUGAAGUUUGUUUAGUUUAGAGAUUACAGUAACUUUCUUAAUUUUCUACCAAAACAUCUAGAGCAUUCAACCCCUUUUAAUAACCCAGGUGAAAGACAUUGGCGGAUCUGAAAGUGUAUUGUUUUGACUUUGGAGCAGCUCACUUCCUAAUCAAUCAUAUUGCCUCUUUAAAUUUAACAUGAGCAUGUUGUGCAAAGAUUAGGCACUGCCCCUUGUGGACUGAAGCUAUCAAGAGUGCAGUGAAAAUGGAAGGGAUGAGUUGGACCAAUGUCUACAUGAAACUUUUUACAGAUUUUCAGUUACCCACUGGGAUUCUCACUUAAUCACAUGAUUCCAGAAGCUGGGGCAUUAAGAGAAACACAAAACACUGAGACUUGCCAACGCUGCAAAGAGAAAUUGAGCCUGCAGAAAGAUUUGGGCUUAAUACUUGGACCUGUUCAGAACUGGUGGGAACUAGUCCACUCUUCUCUCUCUUUAUGGAUACAGCUGUUAUUCUGCCUCUCCAAUGAGGGUGACUUCCUGAAUUUCAAGGUAAUAAAGGCUAACCACUGGAAAAGUACAGGACAGAGUUCACUUUUUAAGGGGCAGCACCCUACAAUUUUUUCAGCCCCGCACAAAGAAUGUAUUCCUUGUUUAAAUAGCCUUCCUUAACUCCUUUUUUUAACUUGAAAAGCGGCUGCAGUACAAUAUAUAAUUUGUACUGUAUUACUUAGAGACCAACUUUUUCACAUGGGAAUUUGAACGGGGCCCCAAAUAGCAACAUAACUUAAAAUAUGGGCAUUGUGGAAAGGAAAAGAGGGGUGUCAGUCCCCCUCUCGCAACUAGCAUGGCUACGUAAUAUCCACCCGCUUCAUCAGAAGCAUUUCAUAGGGAGACGCAAUAAGGGAAAAAGAUCAAUAAAUUUUAAGGGCAGAAGGGACCGUCCAUUAUGAUCAUCUAGCUUGAUCUCCUGCAUAACACAACAUAACAGAAACUCGGUAAUUUCUGCAUCAAGCCCCGUGUUUGAGCUAUAGUGUAACUUUUAAAAGAUAUCCAAAGUCUUGAUUUUAAAAGUUCAAUUUGUAAUAAAUGCUUCAAAACGCAGACAGCAGCUUUGGAAAAUGUUCCAAAUACAUUAUGUUCUCUUCAAAAACAUUAGUUCUGUGAUGUUAUCGGCAUGCUAAUAAAAUGCCAUCUGAAGCUUCUUGGGAGGUUUUCUUACCACCUUGUUGGCAAAGGUCCUUUGUGUAUUGUAUUAACCUUUGCACAACAUUUUUCAAGAAAGUAAGGCUACGAAGAGCAUUUGGGGAAUGUGAAGUAGUGACGUUGCAAAGGAGAGACAUUGGAGUAGGAAGUGACUCUGUGAUAUUUAGUUUCUCUUGCUUCGCAGUAUUUAGAGGAAUCCCAAACAACAUUUUUAAUUUUCAGCAUAAAGCAGGACUCUUGUUAGGCAGGAUCUGUACCAGAACUGAUCAUUUUGAUUCCCGAACAACAUAUCUUAUGUUAGUGAUGUUUUUAUUUAUAAAAUUUAUUUAUUUAUUUUUAUUUCAUAGUUUAAAAUAUAUGGAUUCUUGCCUAAUUCACAAUAUUUUGGAAAAUCCAACUAGCGAUACAGCAGUAAUAGCCAGGAUUGACUGUCAGCCACCUUUUAGAUUUUCUUGAAGUUUUCUCCAUAAUAGCUAUAAUGUAGCUUGUUGUUUAAUUUCCUUUUCGGGAGAAAACCCAGAAAAGUUAUAGAAUUAUUUAAUGGAAAUAUUUAGGCAUAGAAAAGACAAAAAAAAUCUGAUAAUUUCAAAAAGGUUAAAUAAAUAAUUUAUUAAUGAGGUGAAUAGAGACAUUUAGGUACCUUAGGGAAAAGCUUAUUUUUAGCUAGAUGAGUGCAACUGCUUUCAUACAUAUACUAUGGAUGCUAGAAACAUACAUGAAAGAUCGCUCGUAGCUUUCUGCAUGUGCACAUCAGCUUCAUAUCUAAAAUCUCAGCUGUUCGGGUUCGGUUUUGUUUUAUUGGGGGAGAGCUUCAAAUCAACAGACCAUUUGCCAAGUUGCAUUUUCAGAAAGUUAAAAACAUGCCACCAUCUUAUUCGACGUGACCCAGCUACCUGAAAGGGCUUCACACUUACAAUCAGUUGCAGUAGUACAUUCAUUUCUGUCACAUAGAUCUAAAUAGAUGAAUUGGCCAUCUGCAAUUAAUUCGCAUUGUACAAAUAGUUUGAAAACUUAGCAGUCCAUAUUCAGGACAGAACAAUCUAUUUUUAGCUUUUCAAGCGAAUCAGUGAAAUUCUUUCAAUUUUUUUCCAGCUUAAUUAACACACAAGAAAUUUGUAAUCUGAGAAGGCAGCAGAAACAGAAAUCCCUGAAACCUAUGAAUAUGUGAGAUUUCUUCAAGUACAGCAAAGCAAUGACUGCUCCAUUGAAUUCAGCAAACCUCUCACACCUACAUCAACUUUCUGGGAGCACCGGUCAAUCAUGAGAAAGUCCCGAUUUAUCAAUAAUAGCCCAUUUAGAAUUUUUUGAAGACUGUAAUUUUAUUACCAGAAUUUAUUUGCUAGGAAGUAUUUAAAAUUAUUUAAGCCCAAUCAUAUAUUUGUGACUAUAUUUAUUUAUGCCACUGUUCUCAAUGUGUGUUAGGGAAUUCCUUUCCUGUAUUUCACUGUAGCUGUAUGGAAUCUACAGGAAUUUACUGUUCAUGCCUCUGCCUGCUUUCUGGUAAUGUGCCCUCUUUGUCAUAUGAUACCUUUCUUCACUUGUAUUAAAAAUGUUCAGCUCUUGUAAAUGUGACCUCCAGUCUUAUAGUCUGAAAUCUACAAUUCAGUUGUAAUGCCAGCCAUAAAGGGCCCACUUUUCAGGACUGUCUCACUUGCAUGUAUUGUUACCAUCACUGCAUGCAUUAUUGUGGCAAUUGUAUGACAAAUUAGGCAUGCAUUUUGGAGCCUAUAAUUGAACAUGUGUAAUUUUUGAAAAUAGAGGCCUAAAAUAAGGUGUGUUUUUUUUUAAUUUUGUUAAAAAUGUUUGUCACUGCAAAAGUUUUACAUGAAUGCAUCCUAUAUUUAAAAGGGUGUUAUAUAUAUAUAUAUAUAUAUAUAUACACACACACACACACACACCAUUAGAUUCUAAUGUCCUUAUUAUUUAGAAACAAUAAGAAUGUUAUAAAGUUGCCCAGAAGUGUAGAGAAAGUAAUAGCACAUUUCCAUCUGUGAUUAAAGAGGCAUGUGGCUAGUGAGUGGAAUGAAGUGUCAGAGAGUGUUGAAGAGAAAGGAGUGAAGUUGUGAACUAGUGUUUGCAGCUUAGUUUUCUGGAAUCUAGAAAUUUCUGGAAGGUGAGAAGGGUAUCCCAUACAAUGUUCUAUAGAAAUCUGUCUUGCUCAUCUUAACUUUUAAGUCUUCGUAGUGUUGGAUUUGCUUGGUAUUUUUCAUUCUAACUGUAGUAGACAUGAAAGCUGCUGAUCAGUGCUACAAACUGGAGUUGAAUGUUUUGCAAUUACCAAACAUCCGUGUAAAAAUGUAUCUGACUCUAUGGGCCUGAUUCUCAUUUGCACUGAAGUCUCUCUAUAAUGAAAACUAUACAUGCAUAAAGUUGAAAGAGGUGGUAGGAAACAAAUAUAUUUCUUCUGAAGUAAAAUGUAAAUAUUGUCAAGAAUGUAUAGACAGGAUUCAUGCUCAUCUCAAAAUGUGUGGUCCUGUCUGGCCAGCUCAGCACCAGUGCACUGGGCUUUUAGCACAUUAGGACUGAUUUGAUUUAACUUCAUAAGAAGUUAGGUGCUGAAAAAACAAAUAAGCUGGUUAAAGUGCAUGAGUAUCUAUAAGCAGAUACAUAAGAAUUGCAGGCCUAACUAAUUAAUGAGCUGGAAUUUGGUUACUGUGUUUGACUUACAGAAUUGCAAGUUUUUCAUUCUGGACAAUAGGUGUAUGCUCUUGUGUGUCUGAGGAAUAACUAUGCUUACAAAGCAAAUCACAUACUAGGUGUUUUGAGUUUCAUUUCAUAAAGGCUUUGUGAGGAUUUUUUCACUGAGUAUUUUCACUGCAUUAAAACAAAAAACAAUGGGCUUUUCAGUGGAAAUCACAGCCACCUUGCCACAGCAUGGCAAUCACUUUUUGUGCUUUGUUUGAGGAAGGGAAAAUUUCAUCCUUAAAGUAUAAUUAAGUACAAUAAUAAACAGGAAAUCGAUCCCAAAAGUCUGAUUCUCUUUGUUUUAAGAAAGUCUGUAUCUCUUGUGAGGAUAUUGAGUCUCUAAAACACCUAUUUAGUGUAACAGUUGCAAAAUAAGUAAGGUAGUCAGUCAUACCAUUGGCUUUUAUAGUCCAGCUGGUUACUUGCCAAUGUAAACAACAACUUAAAGGCUUAUUUUUACUAGAAUUUAUUUUCAUGUGCAUUUCAAAUAUAGUCUGAUGUGAACCAUUCCAAUGUAUCCCUAAUUGCCAAGAGGAAUAACUAUUUAACUACUUAUUGGAAUAAUGUUGUUGUUUAUCAAAGAAACUGACCCAAAUUGUCAUCUCUAAAGCUAGAAUAAACCUCCUCUUCUACUUUAUUCAUUUUCUUCUUCCAGGUUACUCUUAGAAAAGGAAAACAGAAUAUUUCCUUUUAUUUUUUUAAACACAGAGAUUAAAUCUAUUAUUCUUUUCUCUGAAUAGCCUUGCAGCCCAAUGUAUUGUCUGUUGUUGAGUCAGAUUACACACUGUACAGUAGUCAAGUCUUUAAACCAUUGCAUCAUUAAAUAACAGUAAGUACUUUAUUGCUGCUGAAUCACUUACGGGAAAGAUGGGUUUAUCACCUAUUUACAAGUGCAGCACAGGCCCAAAAUAUUUCGUACAUCUCCAUGUACAGCCUAACCUUCUAAUUGGACAAAUGAUUUAAAUGGAAUAGCUCUUUGCAACUGUUCUAACCCAGUGGGUUCUCAACCAGGGGUGGGCCCCCUCUGGGGCCGCAUACAGGUUUCAGGGGGUCCACCAGGCAGGGCCAGUGUUAGACUUGCUGGGGCCCAAGGCAGAAAGCUGAAGUUCCACCACAUGGGGCUGAAGCCUGGGACCCUGAGCCCUUCCACCUGCGACUGAAGUUGAUGCCUGAGCAACUUAGCUUCCUGGGGUCCCCUGUGGCAUGGGGCCCCAGGCAAAUGCCCUGCUUGCUACCCCCUAAUGCUGGUCCUGGCUUUUACAUGCAGAAAACUAGUUGUUGUGGCACAGAUAUUUUAUAGCAUGGGGGGAAGAGGGGCUCAGAAAGGAAAAGGUUGAGAUCCCCUGUUCUAACCUAUUCUGCUUGCAAAAUAUUAAAUAGAGGGAAAUACAGUAAAUAGUGCAGUAGGAUCUGUAAGCUCUUGCCUAGCCUCAGAGUUAAAAUUGAAAUUGCUCCAAUUUGUUUGGUUCUAGUUAAUAAAUAUUACUUCAGGAGGAAGGGAUAAAAAUGACUUGGAUAUAAAUUUUUGCAAAUAUUUCUAUGAAUUACAGAAGUCACUCUGCAAGCUGGGUAAUGUGGCCACAAAAGGCUCUAAAAGAGAGAGAGAGAGAGAGAGAGAGCGUCUCCAGUCAAAACUUGCAUCCAAGGACUGUUCAGCUAGAUUCAGAGUUUGACUAGGGCACAUCUGUUCCCAUAAGCAGUGGGAAAGUCUGUGUUGCUGCUUCAAAGGUGAAGGAAUCACAGAAGGGUUUCCACAUCCUUGCAUGUGCACUGUUGAUGUGCAGUUUGCAGGCAGGUGUUCCAAAGGGAAUUAGGGGAGCGUAGGCUUGUCAAACAGAAGUAGUGGGUUCAAGCAUAGCACACACCAGCAUGCUGAACCUCGGAACCCACAGCAGCCCUUUUACUCAGGCUUUGCUCUCUUUUGAAGGAUUUGAUCUAAUCUUUGUAAUAAUCAAGAUAAAAGGACGUGAUGUGCACACGGGCUGAGUAUUUGCAGCUUACACUGACUUUAACUGGAGUCCUGGCUGCUCAGCACUUCUGAAAAUCUGGUCCAUAGUUAUUAGCUAACAUACUGCCCAAUUCUGUUCACUGAGUUCAGCUGGAGCAGGACCGUUAUCCCUUUGUUCCUCACAGUGUUGUCAGAAAAGGAAGACAAACGUUCUGAAAGUACGGACUUCAGUCGGAGUUGUAUGCAUGUUGUUUUUGCAGGCCUUAAAAGAGGGAUACAUACUUUCGAAUCUUAAGAAGAUUCUAAUUUAGGACCUUGUUGCAAUCAUUAAAAUCUGCAGGCAAAUAACCUUUUGUGCUAAAAUAAAAAAUAAAAUUUCUUUGUCAUCAAGAAAUUUAAAAAGUUCUUCACUGUAUUUGCUAUGCUUUUGCAAAGCAAGUCAGACAGUAGAGGGAGCACAAGUUAACUAACAGCCACUAUUCCGAGAGCCAUGGAGUCAACAUUCAUGGCACCAUAAAUCAGGUUAGUAGAAAUCAAAUAAAGAAACAAACAAGUAAAAGCCAUGUUGGUUUGUGGUCUACAGGAAAUGGGGGUGGGGACUGCAGUUUGUCAAUGGAAAAUGGGUUAAACUAAACAACGGAGAGAGGCCUAAAAUGGCACCUUAAUAUGGAAUCUCUGCACAUUUCAAGGGAGAUUGUAUUUAAAUUCCUGGAUCAGAACCUGCCUCCCCAGAUUUGGGUCUGGGUUGGAUUCAAAACCAGAAAGGGACUAUUUUCUCUUUCUUGUUUGGAUGGAAGUGAUAUCUCAAUAGAAGACUUCAUGCAGUUUUGGUGCUAUAACCAUUGAAGCCAAAUGGGAAUAUUGGUCCUAAACUAGCCUGGAAUUGAAACCCCAGCGUUGACUCUUUACCCCAUUUCUGCUAAACAAUUGAUAACUGUACUGAAAAACAAACAAACAAAUAACCCCACACCCAAUUAAUUAUAGAAAGUAAUCGACCAUGUAUCUUUGACAAUAACACAAAAUCCUUAACAAUUGAUAUUUUUCACAAUGCAGAAGCCAGAAUAUAUUGAGAACAAUUGAACCUGUGCUGGUCUCUUUGGUUUUGAACAUACAGCAUCUCCAAGAUACAGUUUUCUUACACAAUGAGUCAAAUGUGAUUGUGUUUUUAAGUACCACGGUUGAACUUGGAUUUGUUGCUGAAAUGUAUGUUUUCUUGGGGAUCGUAUUCAUUACUGGGUUUGUUGCAGCUAGAGAAUGACAUUUACAUGACAAACUUUCUGAUAUAAAAGCCAAACUCAAUUGGCUAUAAACUUUAACAUGAAAAAUUCUAAGAAUCCAGGGUUAGAUGUUACAUUUAGAGAGAAUGUAGGACAGCAAUACGUGAAUCUGGUCGGCUCUCUUUAUCAGUUUUUUCAGUAAAAUGAUUUGAGUUUAAGUUAACUUCUUACUGCUUAAGAAGAUUAUAUGGUUCAUAGAAAAAUAAUUCAGACUGCUUAAUUUUUAAAGCUUUUCUAAUAAGAAAACUUCAAAGAGGUUCCUUUCAUGAUAGCAUUAAAGUAAAGCAGGUAAAGUGAAAUGUUCCGACACUGGAAUGUAGUUUGAAAAAAUAGAUUUUUUCUUUUUAACCAAAGAUGAAUCCAUAGAAAUAUUUGUACAAAUCUGUAUAAAAAAGAACAAAAUGUAUUUUAGUGACUAAACGCUUUAUUAAAGAUAAAUAUAAUAGUUGAUAGUGUGACCAUUUUGGAGAUAUGUCUGUAUUCAAUUGCAGAUUCCGUUUUGCCUUGUGAACACCAUUUUGUGAUUGUAACCUUUACUGCAGUCUUCACUGUGUGUUGCAAUGUCCAUGUUGGACUCAGAUAUGCAGUCUGUGCUGAAAACCAGUCUAAUCCUUUUAGUCAGUCUGUUCUAGAGACUGUGUAUUGGUGAUAAGGUGUGGGGCACCUCAAAGAGGACUAAUAAUGGCCCUUGCUAGCUCUCUCAUUUCAUUGACUGAUUCUUCCCUGUUGGAACAAUGAGUUCUCUACUAGUAAGGCCAUUGACUUUGAAUGGCUCUCAGUGACUAACCCAGUUCCUUGGGACAAAAGACACAGAAGCAGCGGGGGAGGAGAGAUAGGGCUGGAGCGAGGAACUCCUGGACAGAAUGGGAGGGAGAUGGUUUUAAAAGAAAGGUUCCAUGAGGUUUCUAAGGAAGGGACUAAAUUUCUGUCACCACUUGUAAGCAGAACUUGCUGAAGAGAGUGAGGACAGGAGAGACUCUCCCUUGCUUAAAGAUGCUGGCCAGAACCAGGACUUGCAGACAGAGUGAGAUCAGACUAGGGGAGGUUGAAUUCAUAGAUCUGUAAUUCUACUGUGCUUUUUUAAGAGUAAAAUGUGUGUAGUUAGGAAGUCCUUUGCUAAGUUUGUGUUCUUGCUUUACUCUCCCAUUGGCCCUGAUAGGUAUAUCUACAUUUAUUUAUUUAUCUCAUAGAAUUGGAAGGGACCCCGAAAGGUCAUUGAGUCCAGCCCCCUGCCUUCACUAGCAGGACCAAGUAUUGAUUUUUCCCCAGAUCCCUAAGUGGCCCCCUCAAUGAUUGAACUCACAACCCUGGGUUUAGCAGGCCAAUGCUCAAACCACUGAGCUAUCCCUCCUAGAAAACCAGACCUCCCACAGCCAGGUGGACUCUUAUUUUCUUACAUACAUAUUAAGAGCUGGUAACAACCGUAAAUGGUAAAAGAAUACAGAAGAGUUGAGGCAUUAUAGGUUAUGAAUUACAGUAGGCAUAUAUUGUUUCUGUAACAAUUAUAUGGGGGGGGGAGGUUCUGUAUCAGAUCAUCUCAUUUGCCCCAUAUUUCCUCAUAUAGUUCAGUAGUUAAUCUAAAAAGGAUCAGAGCAAAAGAUUUGUUUUAGAAUGGGUUAAGGGUGUAGAGUGUAGGAGCAGCAUAAUAAUUUAAUUCUAUUUUAGGAUCAUAGCUAUGCUGACCGAAUGUAUGUUCAGUCAGUGUAGCCUUCCCCACCUCCCCACCAAAAAAUUAUGAGGUAAAUUAUAGCCAUCAGGCUUCAAUAUAUCUACU